rnacentral:lncRNA from 1 species
GAAGGUGCGGGGAGGGACUUGCACUUUCAGCUCCUGAUUGGCUGUGCGUCAGCUCCCAGAGGCAAGUGUCCGUGGGGGAAAGCUCCAUCUGCCUCGCAGAUCUGCUGCGUAAUAGGCACCUGAAGCUGCUGAUUGGCUACUAAAGAGGCCUGUGCAGCCACUGAUUGGCUGUGGGGUAGACGCACAACGUGCGAGGCGCGCGGGCUGGGCCCAGGGCGACAGCGGAGCCUUCACACCGCUUUCUCCGCGCGCUGAUGGAGGAUUCCUGGCCUCACAGCAGUGCCUGGCCUGUGGGCGUCCCCGGCAGUCCUCGGCUGCGGGACCUGUAUCGGGACUGCGCAAAGUGGGCUUCCAGGAGAGCAGGGCGUCCCUCAGUCAGCUGACCCCUUGGAGCGUGGGGCAGCCCAGGCCCGUGAGGCCGCCAGUGUCACCCUCAGGCCCGCGAGGCCCCCGAGCCCCUUGUGGGGUCCAAGGCCCAUUCUGGAUCAGUCACGAGGCAAGACCGCGGACCCUCAGGAGAUCACCAGGAGCCCGCCGCGCAUUCCUCCGCCUCCACCACGCCAGUCACCUGCUCAGCCCGAGGGCAGCCAGCGGCCGUCGCCCCAGUGAGGCGGCCGGUGAGGAGCUGAGGCCGUGACCAGGGCAGCGCCCCGCGAGUCAGCGUCAGUCCCCGCGCCAGCCAGUUCCUCAGACAAUCAGCUCACCAUUCCCAUCGCGUAUGCUGGGAAAUCAUCAAUAUACCCGCUGUCAUGGGUCAGUGCUCACACAAUGAAGAUGACACAGAAGGAGAGGAAGACCAGGGCUGUGGCUCCAGCUCCCCCGAC